UCAAGUUAUUAAGGGUGCAGGGCGGAUGCCUUGGCACUAGGAGCCGAUGAAGGACGUGAUAAGCUGCGAUAAGCUUCGGGGAGUUGCACGUAAACUUUGAUCCGAAGAUUUCCGAAUGAGGAAACUCACUUAGAGUAAUGUCUAAGUAUCAUUAAGUGAAUACAUAGCUUAAUGAGGGGAACUCAGGGAACUGAAACAUCUAAGUACCUGAAGGAAGAGAAAGAAAUUCGAUUCCGUAAGUAGCGGCGAGCGAACGCGGAUUAGCCCAAACCAAUAAAGUUUUCUUUAUUGGGGUUGCGGACAUAUCAUAACGAAGAGGUAUCGUAAUUGAAGAGGUUUGGAAAGACCCACCACAGAAGGUAAUAGUCCUGUAUGUUAAACGAGAAGACUUUAGAUAUGAUCCAGAGUACCACGGGACACGUGAAACCCUGUGGGAAGCAGGAGGGACCACCCUCCAAGGCUAAAUACUACCUAGUGACCGAUAGCGUAUAGUACCGUGAGGGAAAGGUGAAAAGAACCCCGGGAGGGGAGUGAAAUAGAACCUGAAACCCUGCACUUACAAGCUGUGGAAGCACAUUUCUUGUGUGACCGCGUACUUUUUGUAGAACGGGCCAACGAGUUACGUUAAGUAGCAAGGUUAAGCACUUAAGGUGCGGAGCCGUAGCGAAAGCGAGUUUUAACUGAGCGUUCAGUUACUUGACGUAGACCCGAAACCGGGCGACCUACCCAUGAGCAGGAUGAAGCGAAAGUAAAAUUUCGUGGAGGUCCGAACCCACGAGCGUUGAAAAGCUCGGGGAUGACUUGUGGGUAGCGGUGAAAUUCCAAUCGAGCCCGGAGAUAGCUGGUUCUCCCCGAAAUAGCUUUAGGGCUAGCCUCAAGGUGAGAGAUACGGAGGUAGAGCACUGAAUGUCCUAGGGGGUAUUGCACCUACCGAAGACUAUCAAACUCCGAAUGCCGUCAUCUUAUACUUGGGAGUCAGACUGUGGGUGAUAAGAUUCAUAGUCGAAAGGGCAACAGCCCAGAUCGUCAGCUAAGGUCCCUAAAUGUAAGUUAAGUGGUAAAGGAUGUGGGAUUGCACAGACAACCAGGAUGUUGGCUUAGAAGCAGCCACUCAUUCAAAGAGUGCGUAAUAGCUCACUGGUCGAGUGAUCCUGCGCCGAAGAUUUCCGGGGCUAAAACUUACUACCGAAGCUACGGCAUCAGUAAUGAUGGGUAGGGGAGCUUCCCAUACGGGUUGAAGCAUGACCGUAAGGACAUGUGGACAGUAUGGGAGUGAGAAUGUUGGCAUGAGUAGCGAGAUGUGGGUGAGAAUCCCACAGGCCGUAAACCCAAGGUUUCCAGGGGAAGGUUCGUCCGCCCUGGGUUAGUCGGGACCUAAGCUGAGGCCGAAAGGCGUAGGUGAUGGACAACAGGUUGAUAUUCCUGUACUACCGAUAACCGUUUGAGAGAAGGGAUGACACAGUAGGAUAAGCUAAGCACACUGUUGGUUAUGUGUGCCCAAGCAUUGAGGCAGUCAAAGUAGGCAAAUCCGCUUUGAUAAUGCUGGGAUGUGAUGGGGAGCGAAAUUUAGUAGCGAAGUAGCUGAUUUCACACUGUCAAGAAAAGUCUCUAUCGAGGUUAAAGGUACCCGUACCGCAAACCGACACAGGUGGGUGAGGAGAGUAUCCUAAGGCCAGCGAGAGAACUGUUGUUAAGGAACUCGGCAAAAUGACCCCGUAACUUAGGGAUAAGGGGUGCCACCAUCAGGUGGCCGCAGAGAAUAGGCCCAAGCGACUGUUUACCAAAAACAUAGGUUUCUGCUAAGUCGCAAGACGAUGUAUAGGAGCUGACGCCUGCCCGGUGCUGGAAGGUUAAGGGGAUCUGUUAGAGCAAUCGAAGCAGUGAACUUAAGCCCCAGUAAACGGCGGCCGUAACUAUAACGGUCCUAAGGUAGCGAAAUUCCUUGUCGGGUAAGUUCCGACCCGCACGAAAGGCGUAACGAUUUGGGCACUGUCUCAACAACAGACUCGGUGAAAUUGUAAUUCCGGUGAAGAUGCCGGAUACCUGCGACAGGACGGAAAGACCCCAUGGAGCUUUACUGUAGCUUGACAUUGGGUCUUGGUACUACAUGUACAGGAUAGGUGGGAGGCUUUGAAACCAGGACGCCAGUUUUGGCGGAGCCAUCCUUGGGAUACCACCCUUGUAGUACUGGGACUCUAACCAUAGGCCAUGAAUCUGGUCUUGGGACACUGUCAGGUGGGCAGUUUGACUGGGGCGGUCGCCUCCCAAAAGGUAACGGAGGCGCUCAAAGGUUCUCUCAGUACGGUCGGAAAUCGUACGUAGAGUGUAAAGGCAAAAGAGAGCUUGAUUGCAAGACAUACAGGUCGAGCAAGGAUGAAAAUCGGACUUAGUGAUCCGGUGGUUCUGCGUGGAAGGGCCAUCGCUCAACGGAUAAAAGCUACCCUGGGGAUAACAGGCUUAUCUCCCCCAAGAGUCCACAUCGACGGGGAGGUUUGGCACCUCGAUGUCGGCUCAUCACAUCCUGGGGCUGUAGUAGGUCCCAAGGGUUGGGCUGUUCGCCCAUUAAAGUGGUACGCGAGCUGGGUUCAGAACGUCGUGAGACAGUUCGGUCCCUAUCCGUCGCAGGCGUAGGAAAUUUGAGAAGACCUGUCCUUAGUACGAGAGGACCGGGAUGGACGUACCUCUGGUGUACCAGUUGUCCUGCCAAGGGCAUGGCUGGGUAGCUAUGUACGGAAUGGAUAAGCGCUGAAAGCAUCUAAGCGCGAAGCCAACUUCAAGAUAAGAUUUCCCACCGCAAGGGUAAGACCCCAGAAAGACUAUCUGGUUGAUAGGUCGAAGGUGUAAGUGCAGCAAUGUAUUUAGCUUAUCGAUACUAAUAGGUCGAGGACUUGACCAA
rnacentral:rRNA from 7 species